UUCAGCGGCGGACGGGUGAGUAAUGCCUAGGAAUCUGCCUGGUAGUGGGGGACAACGUUUCGAAAGGAACGCUAAUACCGCAUACGUCCUACGGGAGAAAGCAGGGGACCUUCGGGCCUUGCGCUAUCAGAUGAGCCUAGGUCGGAUUAGCUAGUUGGUGGGGUAAUGGCUCACCAAGGCGACGAUCCGUAACUGGUCUGAGAGGAUGAUCAGUCACACUGGAACUGAGACACGGUCCAGACUCCUACGGGAGGCAGCAGUGGGGAAUAUUGGACAAUGGGCGAAAGCCUGAUCCAGCCAUGCCGCGUGUGUGAAGAAGGUCUUCGGAUUGUAAAGCACUUUAAGUUGGGAGGAAGGGCAGUAAGCUAAUACCUUGCUGUUUUGACGUUACCGACAGAAUAAGCACCGGCUAACUCUGUGCCAGCAGCCGCGGUAAUACAGAGGGUGCAAGCGUUAAUCGGAAUUACUGGGCGUAAAGCGCGCGUAGGUGGUUCGUUAAGUUGGAUGUGAAAGCCCCGGGCUCAACCUGGGAACUGCAUCCAAAACUGGCGAGCUAGAGUACGGUAGAGGGUGGUGGAAUUUCCUGUGUAGCGGUGAAAUGCGUAGAUAUAGGAAGGAACACCAGUGGCGAAGGCGACCACCUGGACUGAUACUGACACUGAGGUGCG
rnacentral:rRNA from 1 species